CCUACGGGAGGCUGCAGUGGGGAAUCUUUGGCAAUGGGCGCAAGCCUGACCCAGCAACGCCGCGUGAAGGAAGAAGGCUUUCGGGUUGUAAACUUCUUUUGUCAGGGAAGAGUAGAAGACGGUACCUGCCGAAUAAGCCACGGCUAACUACGUGCCAGCAGCCGCGGUAAUACGUAGGUGGCAAGCGUUGUCCGGAUUUACUGGUGGUAAAGGGCGUGUAGCCGGGUUGACAAGUCAGAUGUGAAAUCCUGCGGCUUAACCGCAGAACUGCAGUUGAAACUGUUGAUCUUGAGUACUGGAGAGGCAGACGGAAUUCCUAGUGUAGCGGUGAAAUGCGUAGAUAUUAGGAGGAACACCAGUGGCGAAGGCGGUCUGCUGGACAGCAACUGACGGUGAGGCGCGAAAGCGUGGGGAGCAAACAGGAUUAGAUACCCGAGUAGUC
rnacentral:rRNA from 1 species